CCUACGGGAGGCAGCAGUGAGGAAUAUUGGUCAAUGGCCGGAAGGCUGAACCAGCCAAGUCGCGUGAAGGACGACUGCCCUAUGGGUUGUAAACCUCUUUUAUAAGGGAAGAAUAAAUGCUACGUGUAGCAUGAUGCAUGUACCUUAUGAAUAAGCAUCGGCUAACUCCGUGCCAGCAGCCGCGGUAAUACGGAGGAUGCGAGCGUUAUCCGGAUUUAUUGGGUUUAAAGGGUGCGUAGGCGGUUUUUUAAGUUAGUGGUAAAACGUCGGGGCUUCACCUUGAUUUGCCAUUAAUACUGUAAGACUCGAGUUCAGAUGAGGCAGGCGGAAUAAGUUAAGUAGCGGUGAAAUGCUUAGAUAUAACUUAGAACUCCGAUAGCGCAGGCAGCUUGCUAGUCUGCGACUGACGCUGAAGCACGAGAGCGUGGGUAGCGAACAGGAUUAGAUACCCUUGUAGUC
rnacentral:rRNA from 1 species